GGUGUACAUGCACUCAUCCUAGAUGAUGUAAAUUGGAUCUUUAUGCUAAGUUUUAAGAAAAUGGCUUUGUGGUGUGAAGUGUGCACCCAUGCCGCCUCUUAAUUUUGAUUUGUAAAGGCAAAAAUUGAAUUUAAUACUAACUUACUUCUGUUUUUAUUUUGAAAUAGGACAGUAUUCAAUAAUUUUACAUAUCAUGAUUAAGAUAUUGAUCAAAGAAAAUAAUAAAAUUCAAUUAAUCAAUAACAAUUUUUUUCUCUUUGAAUAUUUAUAAACUGAUGUGAUUAAACACUAUAUCACCUUUAUACAUUAAGUUGGUACCUCUUAUUAUUUAAGAGAUCUAUCGAAAACAAUCUCUUUGUCUCAUUUUAAUAAGAGAUCUAUCGAAAACAAUCUCUUUGUCUCAUUUUAAGUAGUGGUAUGAGAAAUAAUUGAAUUAAAUUACAUGCACCUAAAUAUUAGUUCUCCUUUUUCAUAUAUAUUACGAGUUUUUAUCUAAUUCUCAUUUCCAUAUAUAUUAGGAGUCUAUUUUACUUUGAGGUGUCCUCAUUGCUUACUCAAAACCAACAAAAACAAUCUUGUUUGUACAACUAUGACAUAGACUAAUGCACGUUUAAAUAAAUUAGUCAAGAACUGAUAAUUACUUGUAUAACAUCUUCACAGCUCUUUCACCAGCCUCUUCUUCCUUCUUUCUUUUCCUUUCAACUUCAGCAACUUCCGUUUCCUUCCCUUUUCCACCUCUCUUGUUCUUCUAUUCUCUGAUGCUCCCUAGCGUGGUAGAGGAUAAACAGUUUAGAAGCACACAAAUUACUUUAUACCCUUUCAAUUGAGCAUUAUAUAAUGACCUGAAAAAACUUUAAAAUAUACAUUAAACAAGAUUGAAAAAAAAAAAAAGAAAAAAGACACACAUAAUGUAAUCAAAAUAUAAAAUUUCUACGGCAAAUAAGCCAACAAAACUCAUAACUAAGAUAAAAAAAAUGAUGACAAUAAAGUGGAAGAAAAUAUAUGAACUAUUAAUUUUGAGGGCGUGUGGUUUUUCUUUUAUUUAUUCUUUUUGGUUGAAUUUGUGGUUCUAUUUAUAAUAAUCAUUUGCUUUGUAUUUUUGGAAUGAAAUCCAAUUAUGUGUGUGUGUGUGAGUGAGCAAAUUUAAAG
rnacentral:lncRNA from 1 species